GAGGAACAAGUUUAACAACAAGCCCAUCAUCUUUGACUAAGCUGGUUACAGUUGGUGGGAGUUGAGUUCAACCAUAUCUGGAGGGCCACAGAUUCCCCACUAUUAAAGUAAAUGACACAUGUCAGGUGGGUCUUCUUGCUAGUGACAUCAAUUAUGGCAGUUAGAAUCAGUUAGCUUCCUGACUCUACUAUACACCAGUGAUGUUUUAAAGAUAAUUUAGUAGUACAAAGAAAUUCUAAGCAAUUUAGGUUAUUUGGGUUAUUUGAGAGAACAUUUGUUUCCAUGUCAACCUGCUGUUCUGUUCCAUGGAGAUGCCCACCACUACAGAUGGGUGAUGGCCAAAGCAGCAAGGAGGUCAACAGUCCUAAGGAUCCAGGCAGUCAGGGUGGUGAGGCAAAGCAGGAUCAGCACUUUGGAGAGAGACCAAGAAACAAAACAUUAAUUGAGAAAAGGCAUAUAGGAUUUGUUGACCCCUGCACAAACUACCUGCAAUAUUUCUUGGAACACAUCAUACGAAAAUUGUCUGAUGCAAAUUAAGAAUGCUGCUGAGUUUUGUAAUUCCUUGGUUCAGAAUACAGACUUGGUAACUAAUGCAAUGAAAAGAUACUAAGCCUCCAAGUGGACUCCAAUACAAGAAUUAUUUCUCCCACCUUGUAGCUGCUUUGCAGCAACUCCUGCGAUAAUGUGUGCAAGGAAAGAGGAAAGACUCUUCUGCGUACGCCAAGUACCCUGGAAAAGCUACAUUUCCUGGACCUUCUGGUGCCAGGAAUGUUUUCUUACAGGAUUCUAGGUGCCAGGAAGGAGGAAAGAGGGAGACAUACACACAUGAACACCUCCCUCCUGUAUGAACAACCAUCACCAGUUAAAGAUAAUAUAGGGGCUCAUCAACUAUAAAACCAAUUUACAAGUCUCAAUGAAAAUGAGAACUUCUUCCUAAGCAUUCUCUGCUUUUAGUUGUAAUUACUCGUGUCAAUCUCAACUGAUCCUGGGGCAGUUCACCUGUCACUAUUGCAUAUAUAUCCUUGGUUAACCUAAGUAGUAUCAAGGUCCUGUUCAUACAGGCAUGCCAUCAAAUGGUGAUGAAUUUACAUCCACAUGUGAAGGAGCCUUUAGAAAGAAAGCUCAGUGAGCAGCAAUUCAUUGUGUUGAUUAAGCCAACACAAGGUUUCCCUUUAAGCUACUAUGGUAUAAUUACAACGAGGGCAAAAUGUGGGGGCCACAGAGGUUAUGGGAGUUACAGACAUAACACAUACAAGUUCCAUUUUAACAGAAUUUCACUGGUUGCCAGUUUCCUGUGCCCGUUGAAGAUCCUUACACUGAUGCUUAGAGCUCUGGUACCAACCUCCCCCAUGCCUUAAGGUCUGUGGAGAAGCCCAACUAAGGAUCCUUGAGUAGGAUGAAAAGUAUAGAUGCCCUUUUUAGUGGUGGUUCUAGUUCUAUGGAAUGUUCUCCCUACUGCGGUGUACCUAGCCACAUCAUUGUUUUGUUUUGUUUUGGCACCAGGUGAAGAUUCAUGUCUUCCAGCAGGCUGCUGGAAGAAGGAAACUGUGACUGAGUAAUUUAUGGAUAGUUUGAUGCUGCUGCUUUUAUUAUGAGCUGUACUAAAAUGUUUUUGUUUUGUUUUUUAAGUUCUUGUGUUCUGCCCUUUGCUGUUUAUUAUGUUGUAAUCCAACUUUGUGGUCUUUUGGUGAA